rnacentral:rRNA from 1 species
CAGUCGCCGCGGUAAAACGAAGGUCCCAAGCGUUGUUCGGAAUCACUGGGCGUAAAGGGAGCGUAGGCGGCGUGGUAGGUCAGAUGUGAAAUCCCGGGGCUCAACCCCGGAACUGCAUCCGAUACUGCCAUGCUUGAGGGUUGGAGAGGUAGCUGGAAUUCUCGGUGUAGCAGUGAAAUGCGUGGAUAUCGAGAGGAACACUCGUGGCGAAGGCGAGCUACUGGACAACAACUGACGCUGAGGCUCGAAGGCCAGGGUAGCGAAAGGGAUUAGAUACCCCUGUAGUCCCUGUCUCUUAUAC